AUGAAUCUAAUGGCCUGGAACUGUCGAGGACUGGGGUUGGACUCGAAAGUGGGCGAGCUUAGAGACCUGAUAUGGUCCCACAACCCAGCGGUGGUGUUCUUAUCGGAGACAAAAAAGAGUGCAAAAGCAAUGGAGAGGCUCAAGUGGAGCUUAGGGUUUACUCAAGGAGUGGCGGUGAAUUGUGUAGGGAAGAGCGGUGGAUUGGCGUUGUGGUGGAGAGAUUAUGUGAAUGUGACUAUCAGACCAUGGUGUCAAUACUACAUAGAUAGUAAGAUGGAAGUGGAUGUGCAGACCUAUAGGUUCACUGGGAUCUAUGGGGAGCCGUGUGUGGAGAAGAGAAAGAAGACGUGGGAAGUGCUGAGAUAUUUGAGGACACAAGAUGAUAUUCCGUGGAUAUGCGUUGGAGACUAUAACGAGGCUAUCAUGCAGAAAGAAUAG
rnacentral:rRNA from 1 species